GGUUAAGCGACUAAGCGUACACGGUGGAUGCCCUGGCAGUCAGAGGCGAUGAAGGACGUGCUAAUCUGCGAUAAGCGUCGGUAAGGUGAUAUGAACCGUUAUAACCGGCGAUUUCCGAAUGGGGAAACCCAGUGUGUUUCGACACACUAUCAUUAACUGAAUCCAUAGGUUAAUGAGGCGAACCGGGGGAACUGAAACAUCUAAGUACCCCGAGGAAAAGAAAUCAACCGAGAUUCCCCCAGUAGCGGCGAGCGAACGGGGAGCAGCCCAGAGCCUGAAUCAGUGUGUGUGUUAGUGGAAGCGUCUGGAAAGGCGCGCGAUACAGGGUGACAGCCCCGUACACAAAAAUGCACAUGCUGUGAGCUCGAUGAGUAGGGCGGGACACGUGGUAUCCUGUCUGAAUAUGGGGGGACCAUCCUCCAAGGCUAAAUACUCCUGACUGACCGAUAGUGAACCAGUACCGUGAGGGAAAGGCGAAAAGAACCCCGGCGAGGGGAGUGAAAAAGAACCUGAAACCGUGUACGUACAAGCAGUGGGAGCACGCUUAGGCGUGUGACUGCGUACCUUUUGUAUAAUGGGUCAGCGACUUAUAUUCUGUAGCAAGGUUAACCGAAUAGGGGAGCCGAAGGGAAACCGAGUCUUAACUGGGCGUUAAGUUGCAGGGUAUAGACCCGAAACCCGGUGAUCUAGCCAUGGGCAGGUUGAAGGUUGGGUAACACUAACUGGAGGACCGAACCGACUAAUGUUGAAAAAUUAGCGGAUGACUUGUGGCUGGGGGUGAAAGGCCAAUCAAACCGGGAGAUAGCUGGUUCUCCCCGAAAGCUAUUUAGGUAGCGCCUCGUGAAUUCAUCUCCGGGGGUAGAGCACUGUUUCGGCAAGGGGGUCAUCCCGACUUACCAACCCGAUGCAAACUGCGAAUACCGGAGAAUGUUAUCACGGGAGACACACGGCGGGUGCUAACGUCCGUCGUGAAGAGGGAAACAACCCAGACCGCCAGCUAAGGUCCCAAAGUCAUGGUUAAGUGGGAAACGAUGUGGGAAGGCCCAGACAGCCAGGAUGUUGGCUUAGAAGCAGCCAUCAUUUAAAGAAAGCGUAAUAGCUCACUGGUCGAGUCGGCCUGCGCGGAAGAUGUAACGGGGCUAAACCAUGCACCGAAGCUGCGGCAGCGACGCUUAUGCGUUGUUGGGUAGGGGAGCGUUCUGUAAGCCUGUGAAGGUGUACUGUGAGGUAUGCUGGAGGUAUCAGAAGUGCGAAUGCUGACAUAAGUAACGAUAAAGCGGGUGAAAAGCCCGCUCGCCGGAAGACCAAGGGUUCCUGUCCAACGUUAAUCGGGGCAGGGUGAGUCGACCCCUAAGGCGAGGCCGAAAGGCGUAGUCGAUGGGAAACAGGUUAAUAUUCCUGUACUUGGUGUUACUGCGAAGGGGGGACGGAGAAGGCUAUGUUGGCCGGGCGACGGUUGUCCCGGUUUAAGCGUGUAGGCUGGUUUUCCAGGCAAAUCCGGAAAAUCAAGGCUGAGGCGUGAUGACGAGGCACUACGGUGCUGAAGCAACAAAUGCCCUGCUUCCAGGAAAAGCCUCUAAGCAUCAGGUAACAUCAAAUCGUACCCCAAACCGACACAGGUGGUCAGGUAGAGAAUACCAAGGCGCUUGAGAGAACUCGGGUGAAGGAACUAGGCAAAAUGGUGCCGUAACUUCGGGAGAAGGCACGCUGAUAUGUAGGUGAAGUCCCUCGCGGAUGGAGCUGAAAUCAGUCGAAGAUACCAGCUGGCUGCAACUGUUUAUUAAAAACACAGCACUGUGCAAACACGAAAGUGGACGUAUACGGUGUGACGCCUGCCCGGUGCCGGAAGGUUAAUUGAUGGGGU
rnacentral:rRNA from 1 species